AACGAACGCUGGCGGCAUGCCUAACACAUGCAAGUCGAACGAACCCUUCGGGGUGAGUGGCGCACGGGUGCGUAACACGUGGGAACCUGCCCUUAGGUUCGGAAUAACACAGAGAAAUUUGUGCUAAUACCGGAUAAUGUCUUCGGACCAAAGAUUUAUCGCCUUUGGAUGGGCCCGCGUAGGAUUAGCUAGUUGGUGAGGUAAAGGCUCACCAAGGCGACGAUCCUUAGCUGGUCUUAGAGGAUGAUCAGCCACACUGGGACUGAGACACGGCCCAGACUCCUACGGGAGGCAGCAGUGGGGAAUAUUGGACAAUGGGCGAAAGCCUGAUCCAGCAAUGCCGCGUGAGUGAUGAAGGCCUUAGGGUUGUAAAGCUCUUUUACCUGGGAUGAUAAUGACAGUACCAGGAGAAUAAGCCCCGGCUAACUCCGUGCCAGCCGCCGCCGUAACAC
rnacentral:rRNA from 1 species